rnacentral:ncRNA from 1 species
UUCGAUGCAAAGCGAAGAACCUUACCAGGGCUUGACAUGCCACGAAUCCUCUUGAAAGAGAGGUGUGCCUUCGGGAACGCGGAUACAGGUGGUGCAUGGCUGUCGUCAGCUCGUGCCGUAAGGUGUUGGGUUAAGUCCAGCAACGAGCGCAACCCUCAUGUUUAGUUGCCCAGAAUCAAACAGCUGUAGAUAUUUAGCAUGUACAAUUUUUACUGCUUAG